GCAAUCUCUAUGAAUGAAUAUGCUUAAGAAAUGUUUUAGUACUUCAAUGUUAUUUUUCCUUCAAGAUCCCCUAAAAUCUGAAGAAAAAAAAAUAACAUUACAUUAGAAUAUUGAUAUUUCCUAUUGAAUAGGUUACCAUCUAGAUAAGGCAACGGCCAAUGUGUUAGAAAAAUAAUGCACACAAACCAUACACAGAUUAGAAUAAAAAUGUUGAAAGAUAAAAGAAAAACAAAAUAUGAAUUUUACAUGUUUCAGCAAUGU
rnacentral:misc_RNA from 1 species